AUGAGAGAUCAAAUUCCAUUCCAAACUUAGAAAUUGAAGUAUCUAUUUGGCUGAUACGGUACUCUACUAUAUCUAUUUAAGGAUGCUUUUACGUCGAGCUCCGAAAUUGAUCUAACUCUGAAAUUGAUCUAAUCAGCUCUGGUUCUAUUGAUUUAUGUCAGAGUCAGUUCUUCUACCUAUCAAGCUUGACCAAGCUUGGUCUUAAUGGCA
rnacentral:lncRNA from 1 species